rnacentral:rRNA from 1 species
UACGGAGGGGGCUAGCGUUGUUCGGAAUUACUGGGCGUAAAGCGCACGUAGGCGGCUUUGCAAGUUAGAGGUGAAAGCCCGGGGCUCAACCCCGGAAUUGCCUUUAAAACUGCAUCGCUAGAAUUGUGGAGAGGUAAGUGGAAUUCCGAGUGUAGAGGUGAAAUUCGUAGAUAUUCGCAAGAACACCAGUGGCGAAGGCGGCUCACUGGCCCGAUACUGACGCUGAGGCACGAAAGCGUGGGGAGCAAACAGG